rnacentral:rRNA from 1 species
UACGUAGGGUGCAAGCGUUGUCCGGAAUGAUUGGGCGUAAAGCGUCUGUAGGUGGCUUUUUAAGUCCGCCGUCAAAUCCCAGGGCUCAACCCUGGACAGGCGGUGGAAACUACCAAACUAGAGUAUGGUAGGGGUAGAGGGAAUUUCCAGUGGAGCGGUGAAAUGCGUAGAUAUUGGAAAAGACCACCGAUGGCGAAGGCACUCUACUGGGCCAUUACUGACACUGAGAGACGAAAGCUAGGGGAGCAAAUGGG